AGCGAACGCUGGCGGCAGGCUUAGCACAUGCCAGUCGAGCGGGCAUAGCAAUAUGUCAGCGGCAGACGGGUGAGUAACGCGUGGGAACGUACCUUUUGGUUCGGAACAACUGAGGGAAACUUCAGCUAAUACCGGAUAAGCCCUUACGGGGAAAGAUUUAUCGCCGAAAGAUCGGCCCGCGUCUGAUUAGCUAGUUGGUGAGGUAAUGGCUCACCAAGGCGACGAUCAGUAGCUGGUCUGAGAGGAUGAUCAGCCACAUUGGGACUGAGACACGGCCCAAACUCCUACGGGAGGCAGCAGUGGGGAAUAUUGGACAAUGGGCGCAAGCCUGAUCCAGCCAUGCCGCGUGAGUGAUGAAGGCCCUAGGGUUGUAAAGCUCUUUUGUGCGGGAAGAUAAUGACGGUACCGCAAGAAUAAGCCCCGGCUAACUUCGUG
rnacentral:rRNA from 1 species